rnacentral:lncRNA from 1 species
GACAGAUCCUGCCUUGUGAUUCUGCCCAGUGAGGAUGCCCCGUGGCAUAAGCUCACCAUAUGACUGCACGCUGUGCACAUUGAGCUCUCCAAGAAAGUAAUGAACAUUAACAAUGGAAGUGGAAUCAGAAUCCUAUAAUGCAAGAAAUACUGCUGGGUCAGCUGGACACAGAAGGUGCAUCAGUGAUUUCAGUACCAGCUCUGAAGCACAAGGACGCUGCUGCUUUAUUGGAGAUCAAUUAUUGUCUUGAUAAGAAACAACAUACCAAUCAUCCAAAAUGGAAAUGUGUAUAUACACACAGAUUAAAGAUUUCUGCAAAAUCUAAGAAGAGGAUCCACACCAGGGUGCUGAUCUUUCAGCCUACACUCCAAUACAGGCCUGGACCCAUGAUCAACUCACUCUACUCACCCUUCGCCCAUUUGCACUUCAGGCCAUCACUGUGCAUUUCUUUCACAUCUUUGUCAUUUGAAACACUGUGAUGAACAGGUCCUGCUGAAACAGCAGGCACCACAGGACAUCUACAUUUCAUCCUUGCCCCUCUGUGCAUCAGGCCCUGUGCAUACAUAAUUCUUUCACGGCAUCUGUAAGGCACUGACGUCCAGAGCUUUGCAGAGGAAAGCUUUCUCAUGAUCAAUCUGUCUCUUGAGUGCUCUCUCGCUCCACUUAAGCUCAGUGGGGCCUUUGCUGGUAACAUCAGCUUAGAGUCUACAAGCAAAGCCUCAAUAAAGGACAGCUGGUGGUGGGGAGCCUGUUGCCGAGGCUUCCUUGCUACAGCUCCGGGAAGUGUUGCACUCACAGGUUCUCAUCCUGAUGGAGGAUUUCAACCACCUGGAUAUCUCCUGGGAAAACAUCACGGGAAGCUGCAAGCAAUCUAGGAGACUUCUGGAGUCCAUCAAUGAUAACAUUCUAGUUCAGGUAUUGGAGAGACU